AUAGAAAAGAAGAAGAAAUGGCGGCGAAGUUUGAAUAAAGCGACCGAGAAAGACUUACGCAGGAGACAAUGGCACAGCUGUGAGUGAUUAAAUACAAAUGUAACCUUGAGCCAGGAGAGGAAUGAUCGCAUCGCCAUCUUAGGACACCGUUUGGUUUUUCCUCUUCACCUGAACUGGAACCUGAGACUGGAUACUGAACUGCUAAACCAGCCACUGUGACAGACUGGCGACCUGUCCAGGGUGUACCCCGCCUCUUGCCCGAAACGUUCGCUGGAGAUAGGCACCAGCACCCCUCCCGACCCCACUAGGGACUAGGGUGUACAGAAAAUUGAUGGCUGGAUGGACAAUUCAAGCCAGUCGUACCGGGCUUGGAGCAGUUCAUCUUUUCAGAUCUAUCAUUCACUGCCAUGGCAUACAGCAUCUCUGGAUUGACACUUCUGAUGAGCCGUGGGGGGCUUACGCUGCUGUCAAACAGACUCUUUGUGACAACUCGACACUUGUGGGUAUGUUCAGUCUCAAAGACCCGUGAAAGGAGAACACCAGUGCAGAAGAGAAUUGAUGCUGAAACACUGUCUUCACUUUUUUUUAGUUACUGUUUCAUAAUUUGCAUUGUGGAUUCGGAUAAAACAGAUUUUUUUAGUGCUCAGUACCAUUUGCUUUGGUCACACAGAAAUGUGCGUUUUAUUAACUUCUAUCAUCCCCAUCAGCUAUUGGUGUCUUGGUCUUCUCCCAAAUCUUCCUGACCUUCCUCAAAUAAACCUAUCAGCUGUAAUCAA